rnacentral:rRNA from 1 species
AGUAACACGUGGGUAACCUGCCCAUCAGAGGGGGAUAACAUUCGGAAACGGAUGCUAAAACCGCAUAGGUCCUUUAACCGCAUGGUUGAAGGAGGAAAAGAGGCGCAAGCUUCUGCUGAUGGAUGGACCCGCGGUGCAUUAGCUAGUUGGUGAGGUAACGGUUCACCAAGGCCGUGAUGCAUAGCCGACCUGAGAGGGUGAUCGGCCACAUUGGGACUGAGACACGGCCCAA